rnacentral:rRNA from 1 species
GGGAAUAUUGGGCAAUGGAGGAAACUCUGACCCAGCAAUGCCGCGUGAAUGAAGAAGGUCUUCGGAUUGUAAAGUUCUUUAGUCAGGGAAGAAGUCAAUGACGGUACCUGAAGAAUAAGCUCCGGCUAACUACGUGCCAGCAGCCGCGGUAAUACGUAGGAUGCGAGCGUUAUCCGGAUUUAUUGGGUUUAAAGGGUGCGUAGGCGGGCUUUUAAGUCAGCGGUAAAAAUUCGGGGCUCAACCCCGUCCGGCCGUUGAAACUGGGGGCCUUGAGUGGGCGAGAAGAAGGCGGAAUGCGUGGUGUAGCGGUGAAAUGCAUAGAUAUCACGCAGAACCCCGAUUGCGAAGGCAGCCUUCCGGCGCCCUACUGACGCUGAGGCACGAAAGUGCGGGGAUCGAACAGG